rnacentral:rRNA from 1 species
CAAUAGCGUAUAUUAAAGUUGUUGCAGUUAAAAGCUCGUAGUUGGAUUUCGGGGCAGCCUGCCUGGUCCACCGCAAGGUGAGUACUGGUCAGCCGCCCUUCCUCUCGAAAGCCCCGACUGCUCUUCAUUGCAGUGGUCGGGUAGUUCGGGACGUUUACUUUGAAAAAUUAGAGUGUUCACGGCAGGCUAUCGCCUUGAAUAUAUUAGCAUGGAAUAAUAAUAUAGGACUUUGGUUCUAUUUUGUUGGUUUCUAGGACUAAAGUAAUGAUUAAUAGGGAUAAUUGGGGGACAUUUGUAUUAACCUGUCAGAGGUGGAAUUCUUGGAUUAGGUUACGACAAACUACUGCGAAAGCAUUUGCCAAGGAUGUUUUCAUUGAUCAAGAACGAAAGUUAGGGGAUCGAAGAUGAU